rnacentral:tRNA from 1 species
CGGAGAUGGCUUAGUUGGUUAAAGCAUCUGACUGAUAUUCAGAAGAUCUUGAGUUCGAAUCUCAAUC